rnacentral:rRNA from 1 species
UACGGGAGGCAGCAGUGAGGAAUAUUGGUCAAUGGACGAGAGUCUGAACCAGCCAAGUAGCGUGAAGGAUGAAGGUUCUAUGGAUUGUAAACUUCUUUUAUACGGGAAUAAACGGAUCCACGUGUGGAUUUUUGCAUGUACCGUAUGAAUAAGGAUCGGCUAACUCCGUGCCAGCAGCCGCGGUAAUACGGAGGAUCCGAGCGUUAUCCGGAUUUAUUGGGUUUGAAGGGAGCGUAGAUGGGUUGUUAAGUCAGUUGUGAAAGUUUGCGGCUCAACCGUAAAAUUGCAGUUGAUACUGGCAGUCUUGAGUAC